GUGCCAGCAGCCGCGGUAAUACGUAGGUGGCAAGCGUUAUCCGGAAUUAUUGGGCGUAAAGCGCGCGUAGGCGGUUUUUUAAGUCUGAUGUGAAAGCCCACGGCUCAACCGUGGAGGGUCAUUGGAAACUGGAAAACUUGAGUGCGGAAGAGGAAAGUGGAAUUCCAUGUGUAGCGGUGAAAUGCGCAGAGAUAUGGAGGAACACCAGUGGCGAAGGCGACUUUCUGGUCUGUAACUGACGCUGAUGUGCGAAAGCGUGGGGAUCAAACAGGAUUAGAUA
rnacentral:rRNA from 1 species